rnacentral:rRNA from 1 species
UACGUAGGUGACAAGCGUUAUCCGGAAUACUGGGCGUAAAGCGCACGCAGGCGGCUGCGUAAGUCUGACGUGAAAUCUCUCGGCUUAACCGGGAGCGGUCGUGGAAACUAUGCGGCUUGAGGCGAUGAGAGGGGUGUGGAAUUCCCGGUGUAGUGGUGGAAUGCGUAGAUAUCGGGAGGAACAUCAGUGGCGAAAGCGGCACCCUGGCAUUAGCCUGACGCUCAGACACGACAGCAUGGGGAGCGAACGGG